UACCAUAUGCUUGGAAAAUCAAUUUGGAUUCAUCCGAUGGAACUCCUUAAUGACGUGUGUCAUAAGGAAUCUCGCUUCGGUCCAUUUGGAGACAUUGUUAGUUUCGGUGCAAGAUAGGUGCACAGUUUGCACCGAAUGCACCGUAGUCUAAGAAUCCAUUUUGGACGCACUUGUUGGUACUCCUAGGUGAAGGGGCUCAAGUGGAUGCUCGGUUCGGUC
rnacentral:lncRNA from 1 species